rnacentral:rRNA from 1 species
CAAAAACAUGGCCUCCUGAGGUUUGUUAAUGGGAGGUUAGGCCUGCCCGGUGGAUAAGUUCUAAACGGUCGCAGCUUUUACUGUGCUAAGGUAGCGUAAUAGGUCGUCCUUUAAUUGGGGAAAAGUAUGAAUGGUCAGAUGGUGGAAAUACUUUAUUAGAUGCAAUGUUUUGAAAUUUACUUUCAGUGUGCAAAGGCCUGAAUAUGUCUAUUAGACGAGAAGACCCUGUUGAGCUUAAUAAAACGUGGCCGUUUAGGUUAUGUUGUACGUUUGUUCGGGGCCGAGAGGAAGGGAAGAUAAUUCCUUCUUAGUGAUAUGUGGAUCCAGCAUGGCUGAUAGGAAGAAGAUAGUUACCACAGGGAUAACAGCGCAAUCUUUUUGUCAAGAUCAAAUUUGAGUAAGGGUUUGCGACCUCGAUGUUGAAUCAGAAUUUCUACUGGGUGUAGCAGCUUAGUAAGUGGGACUGUUCGUCCUUUGAAAUUUUACGUGA